GACGAACGCUGGCGGCGUGCUUAACACAUGCAAGUCGAACGGUAAGGCCCUUCGGGGUACACGAGUGGCGAACGGGUGAGUAACACGUGGGUGAUCUACCCUGCACUUCGGGAUAAGCCUGGGAAACUGGGUCUAAUACCGGAUAGGACCACUGCCUGCAUGGGUGGUGGGGGAAAGCUUUUGCGGUGUGGGAUGGGCCCGCGGCCUAUCAGCUUGUUGGUGGGGUGAUGGCCUACCAAGGCGACGACGGGUAGCCGGCCUGAGAGGGUGACCGGCCACACUGGGACUGAGAUACGGCCCAGACUCCUACGGGAGGCAGCAGUGGGGAAUAUUGCGCAAUGGGCGAAAGCCUGACGCAGCGACGCCGCGUGUGGGAUGACGGCCUUCGGGUUGUAAACCACUGUCGGGAGGGACGAAUGCCCCGCAAGGGGAGUGACGGUACCUCCAAAGGAAGCACCGGCUAACUCCGUGCCAGCCGCCGCGGUAA
rnacentral:rRNA from 1 species